ACCAGAGAAUUGAGAGCUGGUGGGGAGUGAUGAGAAAAGAAGGAAUCGAACAAUGGAUCACGCUUCUAGGAGAACUGAAGGAUGAGGGUUUUUUCUCUGGGGAUUUUCUGGACAAAGCUUUAACACAGUACUGCUUCAUGCCAGUCAUUCAGGAGGUAUUAAAUGAUAUAAGGGAUGUUUGGAAUGCUCACCGUAUACGGCCCUCCAAGAACACUAACGUGCCCAGUGGGAUACCUGAUGUCAUGUACAUGGCCCCUCACCUUUGGGGGACAGAAGAUUUUCUUGUUCCACUUACUGAAGAUUUGACCACAUGUAAAGACAGCUGCACAUUUUUAAGUUCAGUCCCAUGUGAUGCGGACGUGUUUGAUUUGUGCACAACAACAAUGGAGGAAUCAGGCUUGGAGUACCCAUCUACCAUGUCCCAGUCACUUGAUUUAUAUGUUCAGCUGAGGGACUCGAUUCGUCCACAGUUAUUUGAGCUGGCAGCUUAGUCAAGAAAUAUCUUGUUUUUCUUGUGCCUUUGUUGGAAACAAAAUAAUCAGAAAAGACCUUAUACCAUACUGUUUUAGCAAUCUGUCAAUAGUUGAACUCAUCCUGAUAGCUAUUGUUAGCUAGAAUUAUAAUCCUUCAUGCUGAUCCAUAUUGGUAUUAUCUUGUCAAACUGUAAACACUACAACUGCUACAAUACUUAUGUUCAUAUCAUUUAAAGCUAUGUUUGUUAUGUGUUUUUGGUAUUCUGCUUUAGAGUUAAGUAAAAAAAAAAAUCAACAUAAACAGACUUCUUACCGGCAUCAGCUAGUGUGUGAUUAAAACUGUCUGCAAAUGCUAACAGAAAAAAAUGUAUUCAUCUCUAACAAGGACAGUAGCACCCUGGACAGCAACCCCACAGACUGGUAAUGACAACACAAAUAUAUUGUUAUGAUCAAUUAAACAAGAAGACCUAUGUACAUGCAUUAUGAUGUUCUUUCUCCGCAGCGCUGUGGAAAUAGGUCUGGCAAUGCAAGACUAAUGUUUAAAUAAUGGUGGACAAGAAUAAAACUGAAUAAUUAAACCAAAACAAUCCCACGGUGGAUAAAUUGUGUCCUCUAACAAAUCACAGCAUGUAUAAAACAAUGUUGUAAGAAAAGCGUGCAGAUGUAUAGAAUGUAACAGAGAUGACAUCAAACUUUUGUACAAACUUGAAAAGUUUAUUGACCUUUUUUAAAAUACACUAUAACUGAAAGCAACACAUGUAUUUUGUAUGUACACUAACACGAAUAAUAACAGGAUAGGAACUGUGUUCCAAGCCUCCUGUUAGCCAGGUUCAUAGUUACAAAAUAAUGUUACUUGAAAUAAAGUGUAAACAACUUGUGUAAACAA